rnacentral:rRNA from 1 species
ACCCUAUGUUAUCAUUACCUUUGUUGCUUUGGCGGGCCGCCAGGCCUCGGUCAGGCUACCGGCUCCGGCUGGUAAGCGCCCGCCAGAGGACCCCAAACUCUGAAUGUUAGUGUCGUCUGAGUACUAAAUAAUAGUUAAAACUUUCAACAACGGAUCUCUUGGUUCUGGCAUCGAUGAAGAACGCAGCGAAAUGCGAUAAGUAAUGUGAAUUGCAGAAUUUAGUGAAUCAUCGAAUCUUUGAACGCACAUUGCGCCCUUUGGUAUUCCGAGGGGCAUGCCUGUUCGAGCGUCAUUACAACCCUCAAGCAAUGCUUGGUAUUGGGCUCCGCUACUCACCUAGCGGGCCUUAAAAUCAGUGGCGGUGCCAUCGGGCCCUGAGCGCAGUAAAUAUCCUCGCUACAGGGACUCAGUGGACGCUGGCCAUCAACCCCCACUCU